rnacentral:rRNA from 1 species
GACGUAGGGUGCAAGCGUUGUCCGGAAUUAUUGGGCGUAAAGAGUUCGUAGGCGGUUGCCUAAGUCUGGUGUUAAAGCCCGGAGCUCAACUCCGGCAUGGCAUUGGAUACUGGGUGGCUAGAGUGUGGCAGAGGUUGCGGGAAUUCCUGGUGUAGCGGUGAAAUGCGUAGAUAUCAGGAGGAACACCGGUGGCGAAAGCGCGCAACUGGGCCAUAACUGACGCUGAGGAACGAAAGCUAGGGGAGCAAAAGGG